rnacentral:tRNA from 1 species
GCCUGGGUGGCUCAGUCGGUUGAGCGUCCCACUUCGGCUGAGGUCAGGAUCUCGCAGUUUGUGAGUUCGAGUCCCGCAUCAGGCU